rnacentral:rRNA from 1 species
GACGAACGCUGGCGGCGUGCUUAACACAUGCAAGUCGAACGGAAAGGCCCUUCGGGGUACUCGAGUGGCGAACGGGUGAGUAACACGUGGGUGAUCUGCCCUGCACUUUGGGAUAAGCCUGGGAAACUGGGUCUAAUACCGGAUAGGACUACGGCCUGCAUGGGUUGUGGUGGAAAGCUUUUGCGGUGUGGGAUGGGCCCGCGGCCUAUCAGCUUGUUGGUGGGGUGAUGGCCUACCAAGGCGACGACGGGUAGCCGGCCUGAGAGGGUGACCGGCCACACUGGGACUGAGAUACGGCCCAGACUCCUACGGGAGGCAGCAGUGGGGAAUAUUGCACAAUGGGCGCAAGCCUGAUGCAGCGACGCCGCGUGGGGGAU